GUUCAGGAAAGUUUGAGUUAAACUUGAAGUCUUUUAGGAAUUCGGCGGUUGUUUCGGGGUCAUUGGUUAGAUUUUUGAAAUGUUGAAUGACAUGUUCAUGAAGGUCUAGUUUCAUGACGCGUAUAGCUUCGGUGAACUGUUUAAUUCGAAACUGUUUGUUGUUCGAUCACUCGCUUUACUGCUUCCGAUCCAUGCAUUAUCCAUCCUUCUUCUCCGGACAUCAUGAGGCAAUCAUGUCUUUUCUGACUUGGAUGAUUUACUUCACAACCACAGCAUUUUUCUUUUCGAAGUUUAUGGACUUGACAGUCAACGGCUUCCGAAAAGAUAGCAUUCAUUAGAUUACACAGGUUUUUGAUUUCCCAAGGCACAACUUCGUCUACAUUCAGACACUUUGCCCAGAAUACUUGCUCACACGAG
rnacentral:lncRNA from 1 species